UUUUUUUUUUUUUUAGAUGGAGUCUCGCUAUGUUGCCCAGGCUGGAGAGCAGUGGUGCGAUCCUGGCUUACUGCAACCUCUGCCUCCUGGCUUCAAGCAAUUCCCCUGCCUCAGCCUCCCAAGUAGCUGGGACUACAGGCUCUGCAGUACCUACCAGCCAUGUUACCGUCUUAGUUGUUGGUCUCUCCAGUUGGUAAUACAAGCAUUUCCCACACAUGUACAGAAAGCAAAAAGGACAACAAUAUGAAAUGAAGUGACAACAUCUGUGCCAAUGUAUGGCAUUUACCUGUCACAGUUAGUGUGGCUGUACAGCUGACACUGCCAUACUCAUUGGAAGCUUUGCAUGUAUACUCGCCACAGUCAACCACCUGGGUUCUCAGGAUUUCAAGGCUGGAGAUAUACUUUGAAGAUCGAAUAGAACACUUGUCACUCUCAUAAAUUUCUCGGCCAGCUUUAAACCACUGGAACCGGACGUUGGGAGCACUUUGGAUCUCACAGCGUAUAAGCAUUAGAACACAGGACUCAAGUGUCUGCUGGCUGUAAAAAUACUGGAGAAACUCAUCUAUAGCAUGCAGAAUACAUAUUCAGACUCAGGUUGGCUGUGCUUGACACUUGGCCUACAGCAUUACUAGCAACAAACGUCUUCUUCCUUUGGUGAACUUAAUGAGGCACCAGGAUACACAUGAACUGCCACUGGACAUGAACUGUACACAAUAAGUGAGUUAACAGAAACCCGGCAUUGAAAACGGGCUGGCUGCCCUUCAGAAGUGACAGUGUCCUGAAGCGGGGUGAUGAUGGCAGGUGGAU
rnacentral:antisense_RNA from 1 species